rnacentral:rRNA from 1 species
UACGGGGGGAGCAAGCGUUGUUCGGAUUUACUGGGCGUAAAGGGCGCGUAGGCGGUCACGACAAGUCAGUUGUGAAAUCUCCGGGCUUAACUCGGAACGGUCAACUGAUACUGUCGGACUAGAGUGCAGAAGGGGCAACUGGAAUUCUCGGUGUAGCGGUGAAAUGCGUAGAUAUCGAGAGGAACACCUGCGGCGAAGGCGACUACCUGGCCUGUUCUUGACGCUGAGGCGCGAAAGCUAGGGGAGCAAACGGG